UCACUGUCGAGUGAGCGAAGGGAACAUCUUGACAUGCUUAGUCUUAGUAUUCUUAAAAGUUCACCCAAGAUUCCAACCUAAAAAAUUUUCCUUCCGAAUAUGGCACAAUUCUAGUUCAAUCAUGAGAUCCAGUAGAUCACUGCCCUUCGGGUUUUGCUGUAGUUUUCAGUAGCAAAUGGGAAAAACGGAAAUAUAUCUUCUCUCUUCAUAGUGGAGGGAACUGGGGAAUACAGGUGCAUUUAUAAUGUAAGACAAAGGAUAGCCUUAUUUACUUAAAACAAGGGAAUUAAAAUUUCAGGGGAAACCCAGCUGUGUCUACACACAAUCUUACCAACUUUAAAUACUCCAAGAAAAGUCAAAAAGAAAAAAAAAAAAAGGAUUCAGUCAGCCUCAUGUCUUGACUUUGCUUUUACCAUGUUCCUUUCACGAUUAACCCAACUCCAUUUUGCAUUUUUUCAAGCCAAUCAUAUUGGUCCUGUGGAGGCAGUCUUCAAAAAAAAAAAAAGUCUACAUUUUAAAAGUCCACUACGAUAGAUUUCUGAGAAAUUACCAGUUACCCUACUUGCUGAUACCAAAGAUAAUUCCAUACCAGCGUUAAAUUUGCACCCAUUAUACAAUUUCAGGUCCUAGAGAUAUAUUUUCUCAUAAGCAGAGGCACAAGGCAGAGCCGCAAAGCAAUUCUUCCUCCAAACUUUUGCUUCUUAGAAAUAGUAGCAGAUAGACUCCGCCUUCCAUAAGCAAUACCUUCUCACACCCUAGAGGAGCGACCCUUUCUUUGCUUUGGAACCAGCAUUCAGAGGACACACUUCCGUCCUUGUUUAUGUAGUGCUAACUGAUGGCUCCCGCCAUGACCUGCAGAGUAGGUCACAUGUCACUUGUCAUUUAUCAUUUCUCGGUCCUUUCAAACCAUUCACUCCAAGAGUUUAUUUCUUAUCGCUAUGCCCAUCACACAGUCAGGCUUCAAAUACUUCUCUUUGUUUCUUCCUUUUUAUUUUAUUUUUAUUUUACUUUUACACACACACACACAUACACACACACACACACACACACACACACACACACACACAUAUAUAUAUAUAUAUUAGAGUGGUUUUGGACGUAAGUCAUUCAGGUCCUCAGAUAACUGGAAGCUUUAGCAGAAAGCCAUCCAGAAUAAUGUUUGGAGGAGUCUAGAGAUUGUAAAACUCAGAUUUCAGUAACUGUCCAGAUAGAGGAAUUCUGGGUCCUGGGGACUAAGUCCCUGGGCACCUUGGGAAUUGAUUCCAAAAACCAAAGAAAAUGUAUGGGGAGAUCUACAAGUUCUGACAGAACUUGACACUCACCAUGCCCCUCAGUCCCUCAGAAAGACAUAAUUAUUUUUCCAGAACAACAUAAAAGUGCUCGCUAUAUUUGGACCCGCCCCACUCCCGUUGCUAACCCAGGUGAAGAACCCAUCUUUGCAGGUUAAAUGCAGCUUUGCUAAACCAAAGAGUCUAAGGACAUGUCCCCUAUGGUCCGUCCUCCCUCCUUUGUACAUACAGGAUGAAACUAUGCAUUCAGCAAACAAAGAGAAAGCACGUCUCCUUUUUCUAUCUGGUUGUUUAGGGCGCAUUCAAAUACCAGAGGCUGUUGGGGGAUGCACUUGGCCUUCUGGGUUACAACGGUGGUGUGGGUUUGCUUUACAAUGAAUUUGGUAACUAUUUCCCAAAUAGUGUGAACAAAGAAGCAAAGUGUGAACAAAGAAGGUAAGAAAUAGCUACUUCCAUGUGUUUAAAAAAAAUUAAAAAAAAAAAGGAAAAAAAAAAAAAAAAAGAAAAACAGAAAAAAAAGUGUAAAGAUCUACUAUUUAUAGUGCGAACCAAAGACUCUACCUCACUCAAUUUCCAUUGGUGAUUUUAAUCACAUUGAUAUACCAAAGAAUACCAAAGAUAUUUUCAUGCACGGCCAUGGUCUGCAGAGGGAACUCCACCCUUUCCCUUCCCCACCUUCUCCCUCCCUCGUCACUCAGUGUGUAAAGUUGUCUUCAUUCUUAAUAACAAUACGAUACCGAUAACAACGGCGUUAGGAACGCUGCUUCUUAUUACUGCUACUUCUUGUAAAUCUCUAGGCAAACACGUUGCAAAGUUUGUGAACUCCUAGGACGAGUGCCUUGCUUGAACCAAAGUGUUAAACCGCUGUUAACCUCUCUCACCUUAUACUCUUUGAAUACCUCAGCCUCUUAGAAAGGCCACUAAUGAAAAAAAAAAAAA
rnacentral:lncRNA from 1 species